UACGAAGGGGGCUAGCGUUGCUCGGAAUCACUGGGCGUAAAGGGUGCGUAGGCGGGUCUUAAGUCAGGGGUGAAAUCCUGGAGCUCAACUCCAGAACUGCCUUUGAUACUGAAGAUCUUGAGUUCGGGAGAGGUGAGUGGAACUGGCGAGUGUAGAGGUGAAAUUCGUAGAUAUUCGCAAGAACACCAGUGGCGAAGGCGGCUCACCUGGCC
rnacentral:rRNA from 1 species